GACAGAGCGAGACACCGUCUCAAAACACAAACAAACAAAAAAAACAUAACAUUGCACAAAAACACAUCACAGAAGAAUAUGUAUAAUAUAGUACCAUCUAUACAAAGGCCAAAGCAGGUAAAAUUAAUAUAUUAUCAGAAAUCCAUAAAUAGGAAGUAAAGCUAUAAAGAAAAACAAAGAACAAGUACCAUAAAUUUCAGGAUUGUUGCCUCUUGGUGGCGGGGAGAAGGAGAUGUGAUCAAGAAGGACACGAAGGUGUCAAAUACUGGCAGUGUUUUGUUACUUAACGUGGGAGCCUGAGUAUUCAUUUUAUUAUUAUUUAUGCCAAUUAUAAAUGUUGUCAUCUACUUCUUUAAAUGUAUGAUUUAUAAGUUUGUUUUCUCAAAAAAGAUGAGUCAAAUUUUAACAUUUUAUUUCGUUCUUGAGAUCCAAGUAUCCCUAUCUUCUGAGGGUAGCCUUUAUGCAGAGACACCUAUGAGGAAACGCAACAUGCAGAGUUUCCAGAUCCAUAGACGAUGCUGCCAAAGAGUAAAAAAGAAAUAAAACAAGAUAAAAUAAAAAUCAGAAAAAACUAUUGGUUGAACUUUUUUUUUUUAAAGUUGGCAUCAUAUAUGUGAACUGACACUCAAGGCCUUUUACCACCUGAACCCAAUCUUUCUUUCUAGGCAGAUGAUAUCCCAGAACUUCCCAGUGGGACCUUUUUCCUUGUUAGAUGUGAUUCCUUGGCCAAGCCUUACAUUUCCCCUGUUUGUGCUGUGAUUUUCUCAUUCCAUUUACCUGCAUUUCCCACCCUCUUGCUGACCGAACAUCUUAGUUUGACCCUUUCUGGGAAGCCACCUCCAUAACCUUUGUCUGAGGUGUCCUGACUAUCUUUCUUGAGCUCUCAACAACUGCCAAUUUAAUUCUCCUAGCAGUUAACUUUGUGUGUCUUAUAACAACUGCAUUUUCACCAGCCAGACCCCUUUCCCUCCUGGGCAGAUAGCUUGACUUUAUUUUCUGUCUUCCCAUGCAGGUAGAUGAUUGAGUUCUAUCUACCAGAAGCAUAUGCCUCCUGGAAGCCUGGUUAUAAUACCUCCCACAAAAUCCUUCAAAUGCUUUUUAUUGUUCUCCUAAGUGUUGCUUAUGGGGGACCCAGCGAAGUACUUCAGAGCCCUAGAGACUUGCUGAGUCAUAUGAGUGGUCAGCAAACUUUUCCUGUAAAGGGUCAGGGAACCAACGUCUCACUCGGGCCUCUGAUAUUGUAACUGUGGGCCUUUAAGAAACAACAGAAAAACCCAGCUGAAUAAAAACUGCCCUCCUCUGCGGCUGCCCUGAUGGAAGGGGCUCAGGAGCAACAGCCUUCGUGGUGCCCACCCUCUGGGCCAGAACAGCAGAUGCCCCACAUCUGAGUCUAGUGCCUCCAAGAAGCACAGGGUUGUUGCAAAUUAAUUGUUGGGAUCGCAAGGAAGAUCGCAAGGAAUAAGGUGCAUCCUUAAUCCCAAAAGACAGCUGCCCUUAGAAGAGAAAAUAAACACAGAGAGGACACCGUCCGAAGACACAGACACAUGGAGAAGAUGACCAUGUAAUCAAGAGUCAGAGACUGAAGUUUUGUGCUGGAAAUCAAGGAAUGCCUGGGGCUCCUAGAGGUGGACCAGACAAGCAAGGCUCCUCUCCCACAGGCUUGGGAGGCAGCAUGGCCCUGGCAACAUGCAAUUCCCUUUUCAAAUGCUGAGGGUUGACACUCUACUCCCUCAACCAGGGGCCAAAUAUUUGCCUUAAAAAUGAAACUAAAGGAAAAACAAGAUUUUUGUAAUAAAAACCAGCUGUAUAGCAAAUGGGAUGAAAUGUAUCAUUCUAUUGCAGUUCUCUAGUUGGACUUAUAUAAUAUUGUAGUAAAGUCAUCAAAAGUACUGUAGGAGGAAAAUUUUUUACCAUGAUGUUGUGCUCCUGGCCACUGUAAAUUUGCAAGUUUAAGCAAGCAUCAUUCAAUAAUUUUAAAAUACUUUCCUCCCCCAGCUUUUUUUUUUGCAGCAGUAGGAGCAUGCCUCUGAGGCACUGUGAAGAAUCUGAUAGUUGAACUGAAGCCAAUUCCAGUCUUUAUGGAAAAAUUUACACAACACUUCCAGGUGGGCAGAUUCAAAGACAGGAUGAAUCAUGGCCCAGUGCACUGGCUCCUGGCUGUAAUCCUAGCACUUUGGGAGGCCGAGGCAGGGGGACUGCUUAAGGCCAGGAAUUCAAGACAAAUCUGGGCAACAUAGUGAGACCCCGUCUCUACAAAAAGUUUUUAAAAAAUUAGCCAGGUGUGGUGGUCUGUUCCUGUAGUCCCAGCUACUCAAGAGGCUGAGGUGGGAGGGUCACUUGAGCCCAGGAGUUUGAGGUUACAGCAAGCUAUGAUCGCGCAUCACUGCACACUAGCCUGGGUGACAGAGCAAGAACCUGUGACCCCCCUCCUCCUUAAAAAAAAAAAUAGGAUGAAUCAGUGUCAAAAUUAUGAAGAAAAAUAUUCUAGGUUCUUAAUUCCCAAGGUCUGCGUGUCCAAAAUGGUAAGAGCUCAGAGGGUACAAAUUCAAAAUGUAUUAAUUGCUACAAUUAAUCUUUAGUGACUGCAUUUGAAAAAUCUGAAAUCACGUGAAAAACAGUUGUAUAUGUGUAUAUAUGUACGUGCUUGCAUAUGUGUGUGUGACCUGACAAAUUUUAUUAUGAGGUCCUUUAUAAGGCUACUGUAUCAAGUCCUUCAGUUUAUACCAAAUGUCUCCUCAUAAAUCAGUAAACCUCUUCAUUUGUUCCUUGAUAAUGUAAGAGCAAUUUCUUUAGAAGUCAUAUACUGUCCUAUAACUGCAGCUUUCUCUUUGUCUCAUCUGUACACAAUACAUAGAAUUAAGCACAAAGAAGCAAAUGGACGUACCAAAAACAAAGAGCAAACUUUGCGGGGAGUUACGUGCAGGGUCUGAGAGCAUUUCCUGUCUCAUAGAUAGGAAGCAUUUGCACCACGGCUUGUCAUCUGCGCUGUCGGGCCCAGUGUCUCCUAACUUCCUGAAAUAAAACCAAACUAAGCAAAACAAUAAAA